rnacentral:rRNA from 1 species
CCUCCAGACUCCUACGGGAGGCAGCAGUGAGGAAUAUUGGUCAAUGGCCGAGAGGCUGAACCAGCCAAGUCGCGUGAGGGAAGACGGCCCUACGGGUUGUAAACCUCUUUUGUCGGGGAGCAAAGCGAGUCACGUGUGACUCAUUGAGAGUACCCGAAGAAAAAGCAUCGGCUAACUCCGUGCCAGCAGCCGCGGUAAUACGGAGGAUGCGAGCGUUAUCCGGAUUUAUUGGGUUUAAAGGGUGCGUAGGCGGACAGUCAAGUCAGCGGUAAAAAUGCGGUGCUCAACGCCGUACAGCCGUUGAAACUGGCAGCCUUGAGUGGGCGAGAAGUAUGCAGAAUGCGUGGUGUAGCGGUGAAAUGCAUAGAUAUCACGCAGAACUCCGAUUGCGAAGGCAGCAUACCGGCGCCCUACUGACGCUGAGGCACGAAAGCGUGGGUAUCGAACAGGAUUAGAUACCCCAGUA